rnacentral:lncRNA from 1 species
ACUCUGUAGGUGCCCCGGGGCACAGGCAAGCGGACGAGCCAGUUAUCCCUCAGAGCUCCUGCUGCCUCGCCCGCUUUCUCUCGGAAACGUGAAGUGUGGCCUCAGCUGAAAGUGAGGUGGGCCUCAUUCAAUCAGUUGAAUUCUUCAAGAGAGAAAAACUGAAGUCCCUUAGAAGGAAAGAGUUCUGCCUUCAGACUGUCUUUGAACUUAAGACUGUAGCGUCGACUCCUGCCGGAAUUUCCAGCCUGCUGGCCAGCUCUGCAGAUUCACACUUGCCAGCCUCCACAAUCGCAGCUGAGGCGGAGGAACCCUAAGGGCUCAUUGAGAUCAUGGAUUUGCCCUUCUAUGCAUUGAUGGAGCACCUGCUGCCCACAGCGUCUGUAUUUGGUGCUGGGAUGCUGAGGACACUGAGAUCUUCAAACAGAGGCUGCCACUCUAAGCAAACAGAUCCCGAGCCCUGGACUCUGAAGCUUGGGCCCAGUUCUCCUUUUCUCCGGGUUUCAGAUCCCACUGUGAAGUGAGGGGGCCCUUCUGAUUCAGGACCCGGGGAAGCCAGGGGCAUGAGCAUCGGUGCCUCUUCUCUAUUUCAAGGACCCUUCUGGGUGUAAAGUUCUCUGAGAUGCCUUACAUGGAUUCCCACCACUGCAAGAUAACCAUCGUAUGUAAAGUGUUAUGACCAGCAGAGCGUAAUUGAAGUGCAUUCCAGAGGGAAAGACAGCGGCUCAGCUUUUUAUGCUCUCUUCAUGCCCCCUCAUGGAAGCUUCGCACACACUCUUGGUUCUGUCGCAUGGUUCCCUU